rnacentral:rRNA from 1 species
GAGGAAAGGCUCAGGCGCUCUGGGAGGGGCUUGCGGCCCAUCAGCUAGUUGGUAGGGUAAAGGCCUACCAAGGCGAAGACGGGUAGGGGGUGUGAGAGCACGGNCCCCCACAAUGGGACUGAAACACGGCCCAUACUCCUACGGGAGGCAGCAGCAGGGAAUAUUGCACAAUAGGCGAAAGCCUGAUGCAGCGACGCCGCGUGAGUGAAGAAGGCCUUCGGGUCGUAAAGCUCUUUUGUAGGGGAAGAGGGAGGACGGUACCCUAAGAAGAAGCGUCGGCUAACUACGUGCCAGCAGCCGCGGUAAGACGUAGGACGCGAGCGUUAUCCGGAAUUACUGGGCGUAAAGGGCCAGCAGGCGGCUUGGUAAGUUGUGCGUGAAAGCCUCGUGCUCAACGCGAGGAAGCCGGACAAUACUGUCAAGCUAGAGGGCAUCAGAGGGGAGUGGAAUUCCCGGAGUAGCGGUAAAAUGCGCAGAUAUCGGGAGGAACACCGAUGGCGAAGGCAGCUCCCUGGGAUGCACCUGACGCUAAGAGGCGAAAGCUAGGGGAGCGAACAGGAUUAGAGACCCUGGUAGUCCUAGCUGUAAACGCUGGGUGCUAGGUGUGGGACGUAGAAGUUCCGUGCCGGAGCAAACGCGAUAAGCACCCCGCCUGGGAAUUACGGUCGCAAGGCUAAAACUCAAACGAAUUGACGGGGGGCCCCGCACAAGCAGCGGAGCGUGUGGUUCAAUUCGAUGCUACACGAAGAACCUUACCUGGGUUUGACAUGUACGUGGUACGAAGGCGAAAGCCUAAGGACCCCUUCGGGGAGCGUACACAGGUGCUGCAUGGCUGUCGUCAGCUCGUGCCGUGAGGUGUCGGGUUAAGUCCCGUAACGAGCGCAACCCUUGCCCUUAGUUACAAGUGUCUAAGGGGACUCCCGGCGGGAAGCCGGAGGAAGGUGGGGAUGACGUCAAGUCAGCAUGGCCCUUAUGUCCAGGGCUACACACACGCUACAAUGGUCAGUACAAAGGGUAGCGAAGUCGUCGAGGCGGAGCGAAUCUCAACAAAGCUGAUCGUAGUUCGGAGUGCAGGCUGCAACCCGCCUGCAUGAAGCUGGAGUUGCUAG